rnacentral:rRNA from 1 species
AGGGCACCUCCGCCAGUGGAGCGGGCCGCUUUCUUUUCUUCUUAUAGGGAAAUCUGGGGUGGGCCAGACACUCGAAGGAUUGACGGAUUGACAGCUCUUUCUUGAUUCGGGGGGGGGUGGCGCAUGGCCCUGCUCUGCCGGGGGAAACAUUUGUAAGGAUAAUUGCCAAAACCAACGACACUCUGGCCUACUAACCCUAUAUUGGAUCAUUUAUGGUCCUUCGCUGCUUCUUAGAGGGACGGGCGGCGGUCAAACCCAUGACAAUGACCAAUUACAUGUCUGUGAUGCCCUUCCAUGUUUUGGGCUGCGCCCUCACUACACUGAAGGAAUCACCGAGUGUCCCCUGUCCCAAAGGACUGGGAAACCCGUUGAACCUCCUUCGGGAUGGGGAUAUGGGGAUUGAAAAUUAUUCCCCAUGAACGAGGAAUUCCCAGUAGUGCGCGAGUCAUAAGCUUGGGGCGAUUACAUCCCUGCCCUUUGUACCCACGGCCCGUCGCUACUACAGAUCGAGUGAUUUAA